rnacentral:rRNA from 1 species
CAGUCGCCGCGGUAAUACGUAGGUGGCGAGCGUUGUCCGGAUUUAUUGGGCGUAAAGGGAGUGUAGGCGGUCUUUUAAGUCUGAUGUGAAAGCCCGCGGCUCAACCGUGGAGGGUCAUUGGAAACUGUUAAACUUGAGUGCAGGAGAGAAAAGUGGAAUUCCUAGUGUAGCGGUGAAAUGCGUAGAGAUUAGGAGGAACACCAGUGGCGAAGGCGGCUUUUUGGCCUGUAACUGACACUGAGGCGCGAAAGCGUGGGGAGCAAACAGGAUUAGAGACCCGCGUAGUCCCUGUCUCUUAUAC